UGGGGAGGAGACUGCCGGUGCCAAGGCCACAUCGGGCAGCCGGAGAAGAAAGGUUUGCAGCGAGCCUGGCCUGGGGAAACCCGCCUUCUCCCUCAGCAGUCGCCAGGAGCCAUCACCCACGCUGUAGAGCACCGUGGUCAUCCGAUUGACCGUGUAGACCGUGUCCCCUCUGACCACGGCUGUAAAAAGCGCCCCCUUGCUAUUGACGAACUGGCCCGGGAGGGCCGUCCACUGCCCUGUGGCCAGGUUCAGGCAGUCGAUGGCGCAGUGAAGAAAGUCAUCGGAGGGCCCGUUACGGACCACGUAGAGGCUGUCUCGAUGGGCCACCAUGCAGUGGCCGUAGCUCUGAGGCCUCCUUAGGGAGGCCACGGGAAGCCAGGAGUCAGCCCCGGGCUUAUACUCGUACACCGCGGUGGUGUCGGCGGGCUGCCACAGACAGAUGAAGAGACGGCCGAGGGCUUGGGCACAAGGGACGCCGGCGGCGGGCUGGGGGAUGUCUGCUAUGAAGGUCCAGCAGCCAGAGGCAAAGUCGUACCUCUCCACUGACCUCAGGGGCACCCUCUGGAACUCUCCGCCGAUAGCGUAGAGGCUGCCCUCGUAGCCCACCAGAGCCACGUCAUAGCGAGCCUGGUGGGGGCUGGGGAACUCAUGCCAGGUCCCCCGGUCUGCGUCGUAGCAGAAACCCGGCUCCACGACUUCCUUGUUGGCCCCCCGGACGCCCCCCACGAUGUACAGCUUGUUCUCCAGGGUGGUGACUCCGGCCAGCAAGGUGCUGGCCUCCACGGGCAGGGACGACAGAGUCCGCCACACGUCGUCCUUCUCGUCCAGGGACUUCCAGGCAACGGAGAAACUUCCCUGUGGGAAUAUAAAUAGCUUCCUGACUAAAGAUAGACCCUGCUCAUGUGACCCCACAAACCCAGGAGGCAGAGAUUGAGCAGGGGAACCUGGAGAUCAUGGGACAGCCCUGUCUAGGGGCUCCCUCUGCGUCCUCCCAGGCUGAUCCCUAGGCCGGGUUCUUUUCUGGGAGAGAAGGCAAGAAGAACUAGCCACAUUUAAGGAGCCCCAUGAUUUUCUCCUCUGUAAAACUGAAUUGUGGGGUUGAAUCGUGGCUAUCAAACUCAAAUGGAAAUGGGAGUCACUAAAUCAUACAUGAAGAUCCCUGCAGGCCCCCAUUUACUUAGAAAACUACACAUUCUAUUUUUAUUUAUUUUGUUAGAUAUUUCCCAACUGAAUGCUAUCCAGCUCCAGAGAAAGAGCAGUUGGAGUCGUCUUUCACAUCAGCGUAUUUAUGGUUUUAUUUGGGGUCUGGGGUAUGUGUGAGUUUGCUCUUACAACAAUGACCAGUGUUUUGCUUGACAAUAAAAAAAGUGGGAAAAAUUCCCA
rnacentral:lncRNA from 1 species